rnacentral:rRNA from 1 species
UGCGGUUAAAAAGCUCGUAGUUGGAUCUCGGCGAGUAGAGGGCGGUAUGCUUCGUAGCAUUACUGCCCUAUUACUUGUAGUUUUGCCAGAGGUUCCUGGGUGCUCUUAAUCGAGUGUCUAGGGAUGCUGGCAGGUUUACUUUGAAAAAAUUAGAGUGCUCAAAGCAGGCUAUUACGCUUGAAUAUUCGUGCAUGGAAUAAUAGAAUAGGAAGUUGUUUCUAUUUUGUUGGUUUUCGGAAAUCGACUUAAUGAUUAAUAGGGACAGUCGGGGGCAUUUGUAUUCAAACGACAGAGGUGAAAUUCUUGGACCGUUUGAAGACAAACUACUGCGAAAGCAUACGCCAAGAAUGUUUUCAUUAAUCAAGAACGAAAGUUAGAGGUUCGAAGGCGAUUAGAUACCGCCCUAGUUCUAACCAUAAACGAUGCCAGCUAGCGAUCUGAGGACGUUUUUUUUGUAAGACUCCUCAGGAAGCUUCCGGGAAACCAAAGCGUGUGGGUUCCGGGGGAAGUAUGGUUGCAAAGCUGAAAACUUAAAGGAAUUGACCGGAAGGGCCCCCCCAGGAGUGGAGCCUGCGGCUU